AGAGUUUGAUCCUGGCUCAGAUUGAACGCUAGCGGGAUGCCUUACACAUGCAAGUCGAACGGCAGCACGGACUUCGGUCUGGUGGCGAGUGGCGAACGGGUGAGUAAUGUAUCGGAACGUGCCCAGUAGCGGGGGAUAACUACGCGAAAGCGUAGCUAAUACCGCAUACGCCCUACGGGGGAAAGCAGGGGAUCUUCGGACCUUGCACUAUUGGAGCGGCCGAUAUCGGAUUAGCUAGUUGGUGGGGUAACGGCCUACCAAGGCGACGAUCCGUAGCUGGUUUGAGAGGACGACCAGCCACACUGGGACUGAGACACGGCCCAGACUCCUACGGGAGGCAGCAGUGGGGAAUUUUGGACAAUGGGGGAAACCCUGAUCCAGCCAUCCCGCGUGUGCGAUGAAGGCCUUCGGGUUGUAAAGCACUUUUGGCAGGAAAGAAACGUCGCGGGCUAAUACCCCGCGGAACUGACGGUACCUGCAGAAUAAGCACCGGCUAACUACGUGCCAGCAGCCGCGGUAAUACGUAGGGUGCAAGCGUUAAUCGGAAUUACUGGGCGUAAAGCGUGCGCAGGCGGUUCGGAAAGAAAGAUGUGAAAUCCCAGAGCUUAACUUUGGAACUGCAUUUUUAACUACCGGGCUAGAGUGUGUCAGAGGGAGGUGGAAUUCCGCGUGUAGCAGUGAAAUGCGUAGAUAUGCGGAGGAACACCGAUGGCGAAGGCAGCCUCCUGGGAUAACACUGACGCUCAUGCACGAAAGCGUGGGGAGCAAACAGGAUUAGAUA
rnacentral:rRNA from 1 species